rnacentral:lncRNA from 12 species
GGACCUUUUAAGUCCUGGGGCUAAAAUUCUGCCUGGCUUACAAAGUGUAUUUGAUUUCUCUGCAAAAAAAAAAUGUGUCUUUUGUAACAAAUUUGAAUGUGUGCUAUUUGGCAUUUAAGUGUAGCUUCCCUGGCACUAAUGAUUCUUUUUACUUUUACUUUUACUUAAAGGACGUCCUUCUAAAUUUUGUAAGUCUCUACUCACUGGCAGCUGCCAGAGUUGAGGCAUUAACAAUAGCGAGAGAAUCUUUGCGGGCUCAUUUCGAACCUGAAGCAGCUGUUCUGCCUCCUGCUGCUGCUCCUGAUGAAUCUUUUUGGCUUCCCUUUACACCCCAAGGGACCAGUAAACCUCCUACUGCUGCACACAGGAGAGAACCUAGACACAGAGCCUGUACAGUGUCUGUACAGGAACCAGCAUAGACUUUCCUUGCAGACAUAACCAUUUCAGUUCUGUGUGUUUCCUUCAUUUUAAAAUUUUCUUUCUCUGAACAGAAGCUUUUCAGCUUUGC